AACCAGCAACAAAUUGCUCACAUCUAGGUAUAUAAAACAAAACCUCGAGGGAAACAAAAUGACUAUUAUGGGCCAUGAAAAAUAUAGAUAUCCCUGCCUUUCUGACAGUGGCAUUGUAAGGAUCAAAUGAAAUAAUAAAACUUUUAUUAGGAAUGACUGGAGAGAAUCUGGCGAAUAUGAAGACCAGUUCUGAAGAAGGGCCAAUGAAAAGUUGAUAAGGCCCUGGGACCAUAGGAAUUGAGAAACGGCACAUCUGAGAAGUACUUCAACAAAAUAACUAACUUGGCGAUUAAUAUGAAAAUUCAGAACAAGGAAGAAAUAAUUCCAAGGUGUUGUGCCUGGGGCUCAAAGAAUAUUCCCUCUAACUAUUCUUUCCUAGUAACUGAAUUUGGAAAUUUAGAAGGGGAAGACUACUGUGUUUCAAUUUGGUACAUAUUUUGGAUGAUACUGGGGAAUGGAAAGUAUCAUCAAAGUGAUAUUUUUACUUUUUGCAAAAGUCACAAAAUAAAGUUUAAUUCGACAAGCUUG